UUAACCAAAACAGUUGGUGGCAAACACCUUUGUUAAAAGGAAGGGUGUUCCUUGAUUCAAGGCCGGUGUCUUAAUCAUCAUUCAUGAUUAUGCAUAAUUGAAUAAUCAUUCAAUCAUACCAGACAACUCUCUCUCACUCUCUCUGUCUCACGUCCGAAAACCAUCCAAGAAACAGAGCAAUCUUCAUCAACUCAUCUCUCCCUCCACCGACCACCAAUCAAGACCAGACCAGUUCCUAUAGUUCCACCUCGUUCUUGCGCAGCUACCAGUGGCAACCUUGCACCGCAACACGGCCGGCAGUGGCGGCGGAGGACACGGUUCCGUUUUGAGCUCGAUUUGGUUCUAUCUCGAUAUCUUGAGCUACAGGCCGCCAAUUCUCUUGAUUCUUGUCUCAUUGGAUUCGCCUCAACUUUCUGAACAAGCACCAAGAAGGACCAGACCUGGGUAGAACGAUUUCACGUUCAUCGGAGCUCGACUGGUUUAGAUCGACAAACAACCCUUCGAUCCGUGUAUCUCGAGUUACAGACCACCUCUUUAUGUGAUUCUUGGCUUAGUGAGUUCGUCUUGAAGUUCUGAACAACUCUCCAGAAGGAAUAGAAGCGUUUCGUUGAAGUUUUUACGUCGAAACUCAAGCUCGCCGGAUUCUGGAAUUUUUCCGACCACCGAAGCUUUCGAUCGGUAUAUCUCGAGCUACAGACCAUAUUUUUCUGUGAUUCUUGAACCAAUGAGUUCACCUUGAGUUUCUUAACAACUCUCUAGAAGGGAUCAAAGCCUGAAAUUGAAGUUUUGACGUCGAAAUCAAGCCUUGCCGGAUUCUGCAAAUUUCGCCGGAUUCUGGAAAUUUUCCGGCCACCUCGACUGUUUUAGGUGAUUGACGGUCUCCCUUGGGUGAGCGAUUUCGGUGUGUAUUGUGUUAAACUGAAGACGCAGCGGGAAUAUCGAGCGGGUAAUCCUACAGGUCAAGAGAAUCAGGACGGAGAUCGAG